GGCCCCGUAGCUCAGUGGAUAGAGCAGCGGUUUCCUAAACCGUGUGCGUAGGUUCGAUUCCUACCGGGGCUACCA
rnacentral:tRNA from 1 species